GAGAAAGAGAGCCAGGGACAACAACGUCACAUUAGAAAGGGCCAUUCUUGAGAAGAUGGGCCUGCAGGGUAAAGUCACCCCUUUGCAGGCAAAAAAAGAAAAAAAAGAAAUACAAAGACUUCAAGUAUCCAGGGUCAGGCGAGGGAGUGAGCGGGAAGCCCACUGCUGCUACAUGGCCCUGGUUUGCCCUCAUGGAUGAGGUGUUAGGACAGAGGCCUUCUACCAAGCCUCCAGUGCUAAUUGCUUCCAUCCAUGAGGACACUCCAGGGCCCAGUUCAGCAGUGGGCAACCAUGUGCUGGAUGAGGAAGAGCAGGAAGAUGAGGGCCAGGUGGAGCAAAGAGGGGCAAAAAGAAAGAAGGACAGGGAUGAGUUUUUGGAUUUAAUGAGAGAGGACAUGAGAAUGCAGAGGGAAAUGGAGGAAAGAAAAGCACAGGAGGCGGAAGUUAGAAUGAAC
ensembl:lncRNA